rnacentral:rRNA from 1 species
AACGAACGCUGGCGGCGUGGAUAAGACAUGCAAGUCGAACGCUGAUUGCCGGGUAGCAAUACUCGGCGGUCGGAGUGGCGCAAGGGUGCGUAACACGUGGGCAAUUUGCCAGGAAGUUGGGGAUAACUCGCUGAAAGGCGAGCUAAUACCGAAUGUGAUCAUCGGAAGGCAUCUUUUGGUGAUCAAAGUUGGGGACCGCAAGGCCUGACGCUUCCUGAUGAGCCCGCGGCCUAUCAGCUAGUUGGUGAGGUAAUGGCUCACCAAGGCGAAGACGGGUAGCUGGUCUGAGAGGACGACCAGCCACACUGGAACUGAGACACGGUCCAGGCACCUACGGGUGGCAGCAGUCGAGAAUUUUUCACAAUGGGCGAAAGCCUGAUGGAGCGACGCCGCGUGGGGGAUGAAUGGCUUCGGCCCGUAAACCCCUGUCAUUUGCGAACAAACCUCGUUAUUUAAAGAUGACGAGUUGAUUGUAGCGAAAGAGGAAGGGACGG